AACGAACGCUGGCGGCAGGCUUAACACAUGCAAGUCGAGCGCCCCGCAAGGGGAGCGGCAGACGGGUGAGUAACGCGUGGGAAUCUACCCAUCUCUACGGAAUAACGCAUGGAAACGUGUGCUAAUACCGUAUACGUCCUUCGGGAGAAAGAUUUAUCGGAGAUGGAUGAGCCCGCGUUGGAUUAGCUAGUUGGUGGGGUAAAGGCCUACCAAGGCGACGAUCCAUAGCUGGUCUGAGAGGAUGAUCAGCCACACUGGGACUGAGACACGGCCCAGACUCCUACGGGAGGCAGCAGUGGGGAAUAUUGGAAAAUGGGCGCAAGCCUGAUCCAGCCAUGCCGCGUGAGUGAUGAAGGCCCUAGGGUUGUAAAGCUCUUUCACCGGUGAAGAUAAUGACGGUAACCGGAGAAGAAGCCCCGGCUAACUUCGUGCAAGCCGCCGCCGUAAGAC
rnacentral:rRNA from 1 species